CUCUCGAGUUUUCUUCUCUUUCUUAUCUGUGUCAUCCUCACCACUCCUUUUCCUUGGGCUCCCCUCACUGUCAUCCUUGUGCCUGUUUGACCUGCCGCCAGUGCUCUGUUCACGUGCUCUCUCCCUGUAGUCAUUAUCAUCUCUCCUCCGUCGCUUCCUAUCAUGCUCCCUGGAAUCAUCACCACUAUCAUCAUCACUGGUAAAUUCUCUCCGUUUCUCCUUUUCUCUUGUCCU
rnacentral:misc_RNA from 1 species